AUUGAACGCUGGCGGCAGGCCUAACACAUGCAAGUCGAACGGUAACAGGAAGAAGCUUGCUUCUUUGCUGACGAGUGGCGGACGGGUGAGUAAUGUCUGGGAAACUGCCUGAUGGAGGGGGAUAACUACUGGAAACGGUAGCUAAUACCGCAUAACGUCGCAAGACCAAAGAGGGGGACCUUCGGGCCUCUUGCCAUCGGAUGUGCCCAGAUGGGAUUAGCUUGUUGGUGGGGUAACGGCUCACCAAGGCGGCGAUCCCUAGCUGGUCUGAGAGGAUGACGAGCCACGCUGGAGCUGAGACGCGGUCCAGACUCCGGCGGGAGGCAGCAGUGGGGAAUAUUGCGCAAUGGGCGCAGGCGUGAGGCAGCCAGGCCGCGUGUAUGAAGAAGGCCUUCGGGUUGUAAAGUACUUUCAGCGGGGAGGAAGGGAGUAAGGUUAAUACCUUUGCUCAUUGACGUUACCCGCAGAAGAAGCACCGGCUAACUCCGUG
rnacentral:rRNA from 1 species